rnacentral:rRNA from 1 species
UACGGAGGAUCCAAGCGUUAUCCGGAAUUACUGGGCGUAAAGAGUUGCGUAGGUGGCAUAGUAAGUUGGUAGUGAAAUAGUUCCGCUCAACGGGAUAAACAUUAUCAAAACUGCUAAGCUAGAGUAUGAGAGAGGUAGUUGGAAUUCCUAGUGUAGGAGUGAAAUCCGUAGAUAUUAGGAGGAACACCAAUGGCGUAGGCAGACUACUGGCUCAUUACUGACACUAAGGCACGAAAGCGUGGGGAGCGAACGGG